rnacentral:tRNA from 1 species
GGGUGUGUAGUUCAGUAGGUGGAACGCCUCGAUGGCAUCUAGGAUGACGGCGGUUCGAUUCCGUCCCGCUCCG